rnacentral:rRNA from 1 species
AGCCAUGAUAGAGACGCGGCGUACGGCUCAGUAACACGUGGCUAACCUACCCUUAGGACGAGAAUAACCCCGGGAAACUGGGGCUAAUACUCGAUAGGUGAGGAGGCCUGGAAUGGUUCCUCUCCCAAAUGGUGUUGAAAUCAUGCUUUUCAACGUCGCCUAAGGAUGGGGCCGCGCCCGAUCAGGUUGUUGGUGAGGUAACGGCUCACCAAGCCUAUAACCGGUACGGGCCGUGAGAGCGGGAGCCCGGAGAUGGGCACUGAGAUAAGGGCCCAGGCCCUACGGGGCGCAGCAGUCGCGAAAACUCCGCAAUGCGCGAAAGCGUGACGGGGCUACCCCGAGUGCCGUCCGCUGAGGAUGGCUUUUACCCGGUGUAAUGAGCCGGGGGCAAUAAGGAGAGGGCAAGUCUGGUGUCAGCCGCCGCGGUAAUACCAGCUCUCCGAGUGGUAGGGAUAAUUAUUGGGCCUAAAGCGUUCGUAGCCGGCUUAGCAAGUCUCCUGUUAAAUUCAGCGACCUAAUCGUUGAGCCGCGGGAGAUACUACUAGGCUAGGAGGCGGGAGAGGCCGACGGUAUUCUAGGGGUAGGGGUGAAAUCCUAUAAUCCCUAGAGGACCACCAGUGGCGAAGGCUGUCGGCUAGAACGUGCUCGACGGUGAGGGACGAAAGCUGGGGGAGCGAACCGGAUUAGAUACCCGGGUAGUCCCAGCCGUAAACGAUGCGGGCUAGUGUUGGAGUGGUUACGAGCCACUUCAGUGCCGCAGGGAAGCCAUUAAGCCCGCCGCCUGGGAAGUAUGGCCGCAAGGCUGAAAC